AGGAGAAAGAAAAGAAUAACAAACAAAACAAAAUAAGGCUCAAAGUGAAAACAAAUCCUUCAAAAACAUAGUUUUCAAUUCCGGCUGGGUAGUAAAAUAAACUGGUGAGCUUUUAAAGCACUAUUAAUACCAAAGCCCCACACUGACAAAUUAAUCAAUUCCUAGGAGUGGUUCCCAGGAAUCUGUGCUUUGUUAAGGGUACCUCCAGACUAUCUUACUGUACUGCCAAGAUAGAGAACCACCAUUCUAAAUAAGUCUUUUUUUAAAAAAAA